rnacentral:rRNA from 1 species
AGAGUUUGAUCCUGGCUCAGAACGAACGCUGGCGGCAGGCUUAACACAUGCAAGUCGAGCGCCCCGCAAGGGGAGCGGCAGACGGGUGAGUAACGCGUGGGAAUCUACCUUUUGCUACGGAAUAACUCGGGGAAACUUGUGCUAAUACCGUAUGUGCCCUUCGGGGGAAAGAUUUGUCGGCAAAGGAUGAGCCCGCGUUGGAUUAGCUAGUUGGUGGGGUAAAGGCCUACCAAGGCGACGAUCCAUAGCUGGUCUGAGAGGAUGAUCAGCCACACUGGGACUGAGACACGGCCCAGACUCCUACGGGAGGCAGCAGUGGGGAAUAUUGGACAAUGGGCGCAAGCCUGAUCCAGCCAUGCCGCGUGAGUGAUGACGGUCUUAGGAUUGUAAAGCUCUUUCACCGGUGAAGAUAAUGACGGUAACCGGAGAAGAAGCCCCGGCUAACUUCGUGCCAGCAGCCGCGGUAAUA